rnacentral:rRNA from 1 species
UGGGGAAUUUUGCACAAUGGAGGAAACUCUGAUGCAGCGACGCCGCGUGAGUGAUGAAGAUCUUCGGAUUGUAAAACUCUUUCCUUAGUGAAGAUAAUGACAGUAACUAAGAAGCAAGCCCUGGCUAAAUACGUGCCAGCAGCCGCGGUAAUACGUAUGGGGCAAGCGUUGUCCGGAAUUAUUGGGCGUAAAGGGUACGUAGGCGGUUUAAUAAGUCCUAAUUAAAAGGCUAUGGCUCAACCAUAGUAUGGUUAGGAAACUGUUGAACUUGAGUAGAUGAGGGGAAAGGGGAAUUACAUGGGUAGCGGGGAAAUGCGUAGAUAUAUGGAGGAAAACCAAUGGCGAAGGCAAGUUUCUGGAAUCAAACUGAAGCUGAGGUACGAAGGCGUGGGGAGCAAACAGG